GUGUCAGCAGCCGCGGUAAUACGAAAGGUGCAAGCGUUGUUCGGAAUUACUGGGCGUAAAGCGCACGUAGGCGGGUCUGUAUGUCGAUUGUGAAAGCCCCGGGCUCAACCUGGGAAUUGCAGUCGAAACUGCAGAUCUUGAAUACCUGAGAGGGUGGGGGAAUUCCUGGUGGAGAAGUGAAAUUCGUAGAUAUCAGGAGGAACACCUGAGGCGAAGGCGCCUGCCUGGCAGUGUAUUGACGCUGAUGUGCGAAAGCGUGGGGAGCAAACAGGAUUAGAUACCCUGGUAGUCCACGCCGUAAACGAUGGAUACUAGGCGUUCGGAGUGUUAACCCUCUGAGUGCCAAAGCUCACGCAUUAAGUAUCCCGCCUGGGGAGUACGGUCGCAAGGCUAAA
rnacentral:rRNA from 1 species